GUCCCUGGAUACCCCACCCAUACCAGUGCUCCACAGGAGGCACGUGGGGGCUACUCAAGGCUGAACUAGCUCCCCACAUGCCCAUAGGCUGCAAAUCCUGCCUGUUGAGUCACCACCACCACCAACUACAGUGCUAAUAAUACCAGCUACCAUUUGUUUGAACACUUACUUCAUGCCAGGCCAGAUGGAUAUAUAAGGAAUGGUGAUUCCGUGUGCCCAGUGCUUCUGUGGACUCAAAAACCUGCAGAAGCAUGAAGGUGGGCUCAACUAAUCUGCUUGGAGGCAUCUCAGAAGACUUCCCAGAGGAGGUGAUGUGUGAAAUUUCAUCAGGGUGGGGCAGCAGGAGGAGCAUCCCAAGUGGAGAGACCAGAGCAUGAAAAGGCCUGGAAGUGUGAAGGUGCCUAAGCACAUCCCCAAGGUCUAUGUGCUCAGAGGAAGGUGAUCCAGGUCCAUGAGCCGGGGUGAGGGGUGGUGAAGGAUGAGGCUGGGGAGGGAGGCCAGGCCUGCCUGCCAGAGGCCUGGAAUGGCAAGAUGGUGGUGGCCCUUACCCACGUGCCAGCUGUACUCCUAGGAUGACAUGACUGGGUACUGGAACUUCUCCUCGGGCUUCAGCCGAUGCCGUGCCUGGAGGUCCAGGGCGUGGCCUUGGCCAUCGUGGGAGAUGCCUGGGAAGAGCAGCUGCAGGAUUCUUGGGGAGACCUGCCUCAUUUCUAAACUCUCCGGCCUGGUCUGACCUGCUGGCCCCUGAGUUGCUUUUCUGGCCUUCCAGACUCUGUCUCCCUUGGGUGGGGAGUCCUGGACACCCACUCCCUUGGACAGCUGGUUCUGGGCCCCCUUGGUCUCUGGCCAUCCAACCUGUACCUCCUUGCUAUCACGGGAGCUGGUGGCAGGCACUGGGCCCGCUACCAAGGCUGACCUGGAUGGGGCCUGCUGGAGCUGCUUCCUGGGCACGGUCCCCUCCCUUAGGUACUUGUGGCCAUCGUUGAUCUUCCAGGCAACUUGGGUGGUGGCCUCCUUUUGGAUGCAUUCCUUCCAGCAGGCCUGGUUCUGGGAGGUCCACAGCUCCCCAGGGGCAGGGAGAGGUGGAGGAGGGAAGAAUGGCUCUUCCCACAGCUCUGCGGCCUGUGUUUGGGCUCCCAG
rnacentral:lncRNA from 1 species